UUUGGCAGCACUGAACAUUGACUUUGACAGCUGUCUGUCAAAAAGUUUGCUUUUGCUGUUUUAAUUUUAAAAAUUAAAAUUUAAUAAAACAAAGCUCUAAACAAAAACAAACAAAAAAAAUCAAAGAAUUGUUCCUGUUUUGUCGAUUGUCAUGUUCCUCUAGCUGUGUUAGUUUUAUACCUUAAACAGUGGUUACCUAUGAUGCCCAAGAUGACGAAGAGAGAUCACUGCCACACAUCGACCAUGGUUUCCAUUCCAAACUACCACCAGGAAUUCUAAAACAUAAUUUGCCCACUGUGAAGGAAGUUGCAUCAGCCAUAACAACACAACUUGAACACAAAAAAGAACAUGAAGAGAAGAAAGAGAAUGAUCAUCUUGUCGGAGGACUUUGAAAGGCUUGUUCUACGCCCUGGACGUGUCAUCGAAAGGGCUCUAUCUAAGAAUGUCGACAUCUACAUAGAAAAACACCGAGGAAAUGAAGGAGUUGUUGAAGAAAUCGCGCCAACAGAGUGAACUGGAAAUAGUUGAGAGCCAAAUUCAGGUAUGGUCAAUUUAGAUUCGUCAAAAAAUCUAUCCCACAAUUCGAUCGACAGUUGGAGGAUGCCCAGAGUUCGGCAAGGUGACUAUAAAACUACAAAACAGAACUUCAGCGUCUAUGUAAGAUUUUCGGGAAUGAAAAUCAAAUUGAAAUCAAAGACUUUACCAUACCGAAAGGAUAUGCGGUAGAGGAAGGGGUUAUAAUAUGAACAAAACUCUAAACUGGAACAUCAAUGUUAAGGCGUGGAACUUUUUUCAUCUAAUUACCCGCACAACUACCGCAUACCCGUCCGUUGUGGCCAAGCCUUUAAACGCCCAACCUGAAAGCCACGCAAAAGCUUGAUCGUGUUACUGGAAUAGUUCCAUCUGAAUUUAGGAAUUUAAAAAUGCUCUCCGAGAAGAAAGCAAAGGCGGCAUUUGAAAAAGUUAAAAAUGAACGUUCGAAAAAUGUAUUCGAUGUUGCAAACACGUUUCCAAGGCAAUAGAUAGCAUUCAUAACAUAAGUCCUUACCAAGAAAUAAAGACGCACAGGCUUAUCUAGGAACCUCAUUUGGAUGGAAUAAGUUAUAAUUAUAUUGCACCAAGAAAACGUUUUCAGUCAAUGAGUAAUUUGAGUGGUGGUGAGAAAACUAUUGCUGCUUUUUUAUGUAUACUUUACAACCUGAUCCAUUUUUGUUGCAUCUAUAACGAUAUCACAUCACAAUGAACCAUCAAACUAUUGUCAUUUCGCUCAAAGAGGAGUUUUAGGUGCAUGCUGUUGCUUUGGUUGGAAUUUCACCAGCUGUAAGUUUUUUUUUCAAACAAAUAAUUAUUGGGAUUUCUAAUAGAUGAUAAGAACAAAUACUUUUAACUUUA